UCUUCCCCCCUCCAUGCCUUCCUCCCUCCCUCCCCCCCCACUCUGUUACCCAUACCCGCCUGAACGCCAUCUUCCCUCCACCUUCUCCGUGCAAUCAAUCGCCUUGCUAGUUACUCCCGCCGGCCGAUCACCUUCCGGGAACCGUUGGAGGUACGGACGUUGAACUUCCGUACUUUGACAGGCUCUUGGGGGACGUAGCUUACUUUCCAAAUUGUCCGAGUGAUAAGCUGCUCUCCCAGAAAUCUCCGGUUGCUAGGACUUGAAAAAAUGACUUAAGCUUUGGAUCACGCACUUCCGUUCUAUCGGGCAGUACAAGCAGCAACAUGUCUUUUCAUAAUAAGGAUUCCUGGAGGUCAAAGGUCUCUGAACAUGCAAUUGAGAGAAACCCGGCACUUGAUGAUAAUCCUUCCAGGAUUGACCCAAAGAGGCCUCAUGAGUGGUUCAUAGAGUCACUUGAACCGGAGCUCUUUGCAAGCAAAAAACAAGCAUUGCAACCUCCAUACGGCCAGGUGACCGCUGGAAUUACACAUGCCAAUGUUUCUCAAUGGGAAAGCACUGCCAGUUUUCAAUCAGUCCCGACCCAGUUUAUAGACAGGUCGUUUGGGUCCGAAACAGAAAGGCCUGUCAAUUUCGGCAAUGACGGCUCCCUUAUGAGGACAGAGGGCCUUGUGGACCAUUUUGAGGAUGACAUAUCUGUCAAUCUUUCGAUAUCUCACUCCACAGAGGAUCCUGAAACUGGCCUAAGCUACAAUGGCACUCAAAAAAUCAAAGGAGGUUGCAUUAAGGAUUCUCACAGUGGAGCACGUGCUCAAAAGCUAAGUGGCUUUCAUGGGGGAAAUGGGACAGACUUUUUUCCCGCGGGGCAAACCUACAAUAAGGAGAUUCAGAAUGUCCCUUUAAUGGGUCAUGUAUAUGAGGAUCAUUCUCAAAUCAGAUCAAUGGACUCCGCUUAUGAGAAGGGAGCUAACAUGAUAACCAUUGCAGAUUCUUAUGGUAAAGGAGAUAGUAGUAUGCUUUCUUUUGGUGGCUUCAGCAGCGAUCACUGUGUCAUGCCAAUAGCCCAACGAGAUGGUAGUUUUGACAAAUUAUAUGAUCAGUCUUCAGCUCAAAUGACAGAAACUCGUCAACAGAAGCAAGUAGAUCUUUCAAAUGUCGGCUUGAACCAGGAAAACAAAUCAUUGAGCGAUUCGGUCCCAAAGAAUAAGCCAGGGAGCAAUAAACCAUCUCGAAAAGAAGCUCCAAACAGCUUCCCUUCAAACGUCAGGAGCCUGAUAUCUACUGGUAUGCUUGAUGGAGUUGCCAUAAAGUAUGUUGCUGUAUCAAGGGAGGAGCUCCAUGGAAUCAUUAAAGGUUCGGGCUACCUUUGUGGCUGUCAUUCAUGUAAUUAUACGAAGAUUCUUAAUGCCUACGAGUUUGAGCGGCAUGCCGGUGCCAAGACAAAACACCCCAACAAUCACAUAUAUUUUGAAAAUGGAAAGACUAUAUAUCAGAUAGUCCAAGAAUUGAGGAGUACACCCGUGAGCCUGUUGUUUGAUGCAAUUCAAACUGUAUUUGGUGCUCCAAUUAACCAGAAGUCUUUUCGCAUUUGGAAAGAGUCCUUUCAAGCAGCUACUCAUGAGCUUCAGCGUAUCUAUAGCAAGGAUGAGUUUAGCUAAUGAGAGACUCAGUUAAUGGGCAGACCAUCUAAGAGCACUAACAUAUAUGUCGUGUAGCUCUGCCUCUUUGCAUAGAUCUCACCUCAUACCGGACCCUUUUUAAUGUAGACAUGUGCAGGCAGGAUGCAAUGUGAAGGCGAAAGGAAAGGGAGUACUUUUAUAAUUAUGAUGAAUGAUUGAGAUGGCACCAGCAUCCUUGCCAAAUCAUAGGCUCCACGGGAUGGUCUCAUCAGGCAUCGGAGUUAGGCAUCCUGGUUCUACUUGUACGACAUGGUGGAGGAUGGACUAGCUAGGCUCGCUCCGGAGGAGUAUAGACAUUUUGUAUUUUGGAUCACCUUCCUAUUUAUUUAGUAUUGUUCUAGCUGAUUAGGCCAGGGCUUCUUAUCAAGGUGAUUAAUAUUCUGUACUCUUCCUUGAGUUUCACGCGAGAAUUUUAUUUUAUUUUUGGGUAUAAACCCCGAAGGGAUAAAAUUUUUACAAACGUGGA